rnacentral:rRNA from 1 species
AUGUCUUUGAGGCGUAUGGUCAUCGGCUGGUGGAGAUGCGUGUGUUCCAGGGAGGGAGCUACUACGGUGGAGGCUUAUAUCCAGCUCCGAUCGCGGGACGAGGCGCACCAAGCUCGUGAUGCCCUGAAUGGCCGAGCCAUCUAUGAUGGUUGUUGUUUCCUCGAUAUCGACCAAGCAUCAUCGGCCUGCACAACUGCAGCAGUGCCCUGCCCAAGAUCCACAACAAGGCAUCUCAUGAGCCAAGCAGCGCAACCGAGUGCACUGACAAGGCCACGCUCACCCUCAACAACAAGCUCCAGGUCCUCCUCAAGGCUGAAGGUGUCCUUGAGGAUGACGUCGACACCAUGCACACCAAGUUGGACAUCGCGAUUCUGCCGGCAAGCACGUCGUCCAGUAGAUGACAUGGAACUUCAAGUGGGUACUGGCACCCCUUCUGAUCCCGAAAGAUUUUAUUUUUUAUUUUUUUGUCAACAUGUCUAG